rnacentral:lncRNA from 1 species
GGGCUAGAUUGAAUCCCAGCCAAAGCGCCCAGAGUUCAACUUGGAUGCUGGAUCCUCUACCCAAAUUAGCUUUGAAAAUCACCUAACCAUUGCCCUCUGUCAUUCUGAAGAAGGACCCCGCCAACAUAAUCCCAUUUGUGGUUGAACGCGCUCCAUCUUAUACAUCCAGCAGUAGGAGAGCUUGCCAUUUGACCAUAACAGAGGCUCCAUGUCUUCCGAACAUGUUUCGAAAUCUGGCAUUACGUACCUCGUCCACAACUCGAAGAAUCACUCUAAUCGGGUAUGGAGGGGAAAUAUUGUAAUAACCCAACUUUUUGCUAAAUGUAAAUUACAUUUGGGAUGGUGGUUAAAUUCAGGAUUUCUCUUUAAACGCCCCAGUUUCCUGGACAGGAAUUCCAGACAUAUCGUAAAGAGGAAAGGGGACAACGGGUCUCCUUGCCUCAGACCUUGUUGCCCCUUAAAGAAGCCAUGCAAGGUUCUAUUUAUGGAUAUGGAAUAAGCUGUAGUUGAGACACAUUGCAUGACCCACUUUACAAACAUAGCUAGGAAACCCAUUUCCGAGAGCAUGUCCUCCAGGAAGACCCAAUUAAUUGUGCCAUAUGCUUUUCGAAGGUCAAUUUUCAUAAUGCAACGGGGGAACUUCUCUUUCGGCAAUAUUUCCUCAAGAGCUCCUGGACCAGAUAUAUGUUUUCUGUCAUGCUUCGAUAAGGCACAAAAGCCGACUGGGCAUGGUCUAUCAACUCCUCCAAAAUGGGAGAAAGCCUCGAGGCAAGGAUCUUGGAAAUAAUCUUAUAGAUCACAUUGCAGCAUGCGAUGGGUCUGAAAUCUCCCACUUUAGAGGCAUUCCCAGACUUGGGAACUAAAACAAUUGUUGUGUGGUUGAUUUGUUUGGGGAUCUUCCAGCUCUAAAAACUUCUUUCACUACUGAAAAUACAUCUGCCCCUACUAUACUCCAGGAUUUUUUGAAGCAGCAUGCAAUAAAACCAUCGGGCCUCGGAGCUUUAUCAUCUCCAAUACCAAAGAGAGCUGUUUUGAUAUCCUCCUCCACGACUGGGCGAAUGAGAAGCAAACUUUAUUCUUUCUGUACCAAUAGACCCUCUGCAAGCACUGCUCUUUCCAUCCUCGGAUACUCAGUUUUAGUCCCUAGCAGGUUUUUAUAAUAAUCAACAAAUAGAGAGCUAACCUGAUGGGGGGAGGUGGUGGCAACCCCAUCUUCGUUGAUCAGGGAUAUAAUUUGAUUCUUGGCUUUGUUGCUCUUGAUUAGAUUAUGAAAGAAUUUGGUUCCUUUGUCGCUGUUGUUCAAAGGCUUUUGCUAACUGAGAACAGAAACUCAACUCUACCUUAGGCAGCCUGUUGGCUUUCGCUCUAAGUUUUGGGACUUUGUUUUGAAGGUUAAUGUCACUUGGGUUAUCAUACAAAUUUUGUUCUCUGUUUCUGCAGCCUCAACUCGAGCUGAGAUAUGAGAGAAAUUUGUCUGUUUAAAACCUUCAAUGGAUCUUUCAGAGCCUUAAGCUUUUUGCAUAAUUUGUACAUAGCUGGGCCUUCCACUCUCAUGCUCCAACUGUUGCUAACCAAAUCUAAAAUUCUCAUGUUGAACCCACAUGUUAUAGAAUUUAAAAGAGUUGGGCCCUCUAUCAAGCUCACCAAAAAGGGAUACAACACAAGGCGAGUGGUCCGAGUGUUUCCCUGGGAGCCCAAAGUUUGCUUGGGCUAUCAGACCGUCUUGUAUCCAUCUGGAAUUAACCAUGGCUCUGUCCAGCUUGCACUAAACUAAAUUAUUAGUCCAUGUGUGGAACACUCUAGUGGAUCUCAAGUCUGAGAUUCCCAUAUCAUAACAGCAACUCCUGAAAUCUCUGGUUCCAUAUGUCAUGACUGGAAGGCCAUUGACUUUCUCCUCGCCACUAAGAACAUUAUUAAAGUCUCCCCAAAAACGCCAAGGCAGCUCAAGAGAAGCAUUAAAAUUGUUCAGAUUUUCCAAAAGGGGCUUUCGCCCCAUAAUAGUAUUAAAAGCAUAAAUAAAACUGAUAGCAAAUUUAUGGAAGUGGACUUACAGGAAGCCACAGAACGUAUGACUUGCUCGGUGCUUUCCAUAAUAUCCAGAUCCACUUUGUCUCCUUGCCAGAGUAUCAAAAUUCGACCAUUUGGAUUGAGCUGGAAAUUUUCUGCAACUUUCCAUCCUCUGAAUUUUCUGCUAAUGAAUCCUUUUAGACUAUGCUGAUCAAGCUUAGUUUCAAGAAUUCCCAUGACUGCUAUUUUAUUUUUCUUCACAUGCUUCAAGAUGCCAUUCUGUUUUAAAGGCCUGUUAAGACCUCUAAUAUUCCAAGAGAAAAUCAACAUUAAUCAUUUGGGAUAGGGGAGUCACCCCCCAUUUCUGCACAGAAUUCCUCAAAAGGAAUUACUUUACCAUUCUUCUUUGGGGCCUUUUUGUUCCUCUUCUUCUUCCCUUUUGGCCGUAGUGGGGGGAGGAUUGGAGGUGGAGGGGAGGUGGGGCUUAUCUGGAUUCUUAGCAGGUAGGGUGGUAGUUAUAGACCUUCGGAUGGGAUGGGAUGGGCUGUAUUUCUUUUUUGGGUUGCAAUUCCUCCAUUAUGCACUUUGGGGAUUUGUUGUGGUUUCCUUUGGGGGAUAAAUGGACUGGAUUCAGCCUUAUGUUUCUGCUGCAUGUCCUCUAGUUCUGGGAUUUUAAGCCCUAUGGAAAUCUCUCCACCCUCGUGAUGUUGGAUGGGAAUGCCCUGGGUUUGCUUUGAACUGGACUCAGGAAGCUGGGUUUGCUCUUCUAUUACAGAAAUAAUAGUGUUCCCAAUGUGCCCUUUUGCAUCCCAUUUCUUCUUCUUCUUCCAUUCAAUCUGGGCUUCCAUGUUGUGCCUGACUUAGUUUGUACUUCUUUCUUUCUGUCAGUCCUCUAGGAUUUUCCAAAGCAGGCUGACUUGUGAAAUUUGUUGGCUCUGGGUUCUGAACUGCCUCUGAUCUUCCUUUUUGGCCUUUAUAAGUAUUUGGCUGUUUAGUUACCCAUUAUAGCAGAUUUCCUUUGUUAGUUCCAGUCCCUGAGGUUCUAGUCUGGCCAUCAGUUGUAGCAGCUAUUGGCCAAGUUUCCUUCCCCGUCUUCAGGGCCAGCCCAGGGGUGAGCCCACCCAGCCCAUGGGCUUGGGCAACCCCCCUAGGUAGGGGCAACCAUCCUGCCCAUUUUUUUUUAAAUAUUAGGGGUUUUAUUAUUCAAAUUAAAACUAUAAGGAUCAAAUUAAAAUUGGGGGUCAACACUACAAGGACUAUGGUGUAAUUACCAGUUCUCAAGCAAUGCUUUGUCAUUUCGAAGGUGCCCUGGUUCCAGCCUUCAUUCUUACCCAUAGCCCGACCGCAGUUACACUUUGCCAGGUUGGCACUUCACAACACCAAACACAUACAAUACUGACAGACACAAACACAGACUGAGCCGAGAUCACAGACAGCCACGAACAAGUGGACCAUGAACCCGGACAACCGAGAGACAGACGACUUUCUCUCUCUCCUCCCUCACCUUCUUUCUCUCUUCCCUCUGGCCACGGACCACAGAUAGCCGAGAGACAGCCACUGAGCCGAGACCACCGAGAGUCCUUGUAUUAUUGCCGAGACCCUCGAGAGACAGCCGAGACCAGUGGAGAGUUUUAUAUUAGAUCAGUGGAGACUUUCUCUCAGACCACAAGACAGCCGAGACAGGUAACCACUCAAACAUUUUUAUAUUAAGCUUCCAUUUCUGAUUAAUGGUGGUUAAUGGUGGGUAACAUUGGUUAAUGGUGGUUUUUGCAUUAGUGCAUAUUUUGAUUUUGAUUACAAAUAUGUUAUGUUGGGCUGACUUAAGGCUUCAUUUAUGAUUAAUCUCUGUUAGUAGACUAUGGUGCCCGUGGCUAGUGUGGGUUACUGUUGUUAGAUAUAUAUGAUAAUGUAACAUGAUAAUAUCAAAUAUUUUUAGUAUUUUAUUUAUAGGUACUAAUUGUCUAAUUGCUAUGACGAAGAAUGAGACGACAAGAUAAGUGAGGUUAAGAAAACAGAACUCUGGACUUUAAGAUAGAAAAAUCAAACACAAAAAGAUGAAACAGAAACUCUCUGUAGGUUCAAUCGCUAGACUAAUUUGAUGCAAACAAACGAAAAUCUCUACUUUCAGUCAAGUUGUAAAAUCCAAGUGAUGAAACAAAAGGGGAGGAUGUUUUAAUGAUCUUCAUGAUGUUGAAGAAGCAAGUGAAGGUAUUGAUGUAGGAAAAUGAAGAAUUAGAGACGGGUAUAAUGAAAAUAAGUGAUGGUGUUAAUAGAGAAAAUGAAAGGUAUCCUUACCUUAAAAGAUCUUGAAUGUGGAAACUACGAUCAACUACAUCCUGAUGUGGGGAAGUAUUAUGACACUAAGAAGGUAUGUUAUUUUGGUACGAGGUCCUAAUUAAAAAUCUUAAGAGAAAGUGAUGUAUUUCCCAAGGAAAGUACUGCGGUCGACCCUUUUCUUCCAAUUCUAGUGUUGUGAUCUUCCCAAAUGGUGAGAAGCAGAAAGAAAUUGGCUUGUGUAUUCAAUGAGUUGCAUAAGAGGUAUUUUAUUUUUGUUACAAGUUAUUUAAGUCUAAGGCAAUGACACUAGUUUUGGCGGAGGAGGGAACUAGUGAUUGGCAUAACCUUUCUAGAAAGCUUGAGAGCAUGAAAGGAAGUGUGAACACAUCGCCAAUGUUUGUGAGGUGGGUAGACUUGCACAUGGAUUCAAAAAAGUCACCAAUUUACAAAAAAAUGAAAGAACAAAUCGACAUAAGAAAGAGUUCGUUGGAAGAUGAAUAGAGUUUCGGAUCAUCGGGGUUGUUAAGACUCUUGCUCGGAAUAGUUGGCCAUUUCGUGAAUAAAUGAGAAGAUUUAUGAGAAGAAUAAUGGGCUUUUUUGUCAACUUACGAAUUUGUUACGGAAUUUGAUCCUAUUAUGCAAGAGCAAACCUUCGGCCAUGUGGUGGAUAAAGAAAUCCCAAAACCCCCCUCAACAUCAUUAUCUUAGCCACAAAAUUCAAAGAAUUGAUAAGUUGGUUGGCGAAAGAGAUAAAAGAAAAAAGCUUAAAGAAGAUUUUAAGAGCAAAGUACCUUCCUCGGUUUAUUUUGAUUGUAACUCCUAUCUAUUCAUGAAGAACAAAUGUCUAUUGUUUAAUAUGUUGUGGAUGUUGAGGAUGAAAGUGAGUUAAGGUGGAGGAGUUCUUUCUUGACUUUAUAAAAUUUGAUGACAAACGUCGGGGUUUGGGCUUUUCAAGCGACUUGAAGAUGCUUCGUUGGUCCUAAAAGUCAACAUUGAUGAUAUAAGAGGACAAGUUUAUGAUAAUGGCUCGAACAUGAAAGGUAAAACAUCAAAGUGUCAAAAAGACUACUUACUUGAUAAUACAUUCCUAGAGCAUUUUUUAUUCCAUGUGGUUUUCAUAACUUAAAUCGUUGCAUUAUUGAUAUGGAAAAUCUUGUGUAAAAGAAAGAAAUUUUUUUUCGCAUAUGUGCAAAAAGGUUUAUACUUUGUUUUUCAGGGUUCAACACAUCAGUGGGAUUCUUCUUUCGAAACGUAUCUAAGAGUUUUGAAACCAAAGGCUUGUCGUAACUCUUGGAAAGUCAUUUUGAAGUGUAAAAGCAAUAGAAGCCAAGCACUGGAACUAGAGAGAUGCAUUGAUAUUUAAUUGCAAAUAUUUCUAAAAAAGCUGUUUGAUGGCAGAAGCUAAAGGUUGUGACAAAAAAUUCUUUAGAGGAUUUUGAAUUCUUUGAUUACUUAUGGUAUUUGGUUCAAAAUCUUAGACAAGUUUCAUCAAGUUAGCAAAGUUCUUUCAACGAGAAGAGAUGAAUAUUGAAAAUUCACUUACAAGAAUAAGGGAGUUUUUAUUUUUUCUUUGAAAAGGCUUAAGAGAAGAUGGUUUUGAAGACGUGAUGAAUCAGUCAAGAACUUGCAUACAUGACUUGGUAUGAUCCGAUUCACAACAAAAAGAGUUGUUCGAAGAAAUAAUAAUUUGAUGAGGAUGUGGGAGUGACGCCAAUGGAAGUAUCACCGGAAGAUAAUUUUAGAGUUACGCUAUUUUAUUCACAUUAAUAGAUCAGCUCUUACUUCUCUUAAGGAUCGCUUUGACCAAUUUGAAACUUAUGAAGCAAUUUUUGGAUUUUAUUUAAUCCAAAAUUCAAAAGUGUUAGUGAGGAGGCAAUUAUGAAGUUGCCUAAAUUGAAGUUUUCUAUCCUUGGAACCAAUGAACAUGAAAUAUAUUUAUGGGGUACCACUGAGUUCUUCCAAGAACUUUAACAUGUGGAAAAUAAUAUUGCCGGAGAAAUACAAAAGCUAUGACGUCCUUAUUUUAUAAGGUCUUAUUGGAGAGAGGUGGUUUUCAAAUGGCAUGGGUGCUUAUCGAUUUUAUUGACUAUAACCACCGGUUACAGUGGCUUCGCGGAGAUAAAGUUUUUCUAAGUUAAAGUUGAUAAAAUACCUUCCGGACUACCAUGUCACAAGAUAUAUUUAAGUGAUUGGCUAUGUCUCUAUUGAAAAGAGUUUCCUAGAUAAGUUUAAAGUACCGACUUAAUUGAAGAAUUUGCUUCAAAAAAUGUAAGAGGAAGUUGUUUUUCUUUGAAUCGAAUUAAUGCUAAUCAGAAAGCACCAUAACCAAUUAAUCUGGGUUACCUUUUAAUUUUUGAUUUUUUUGAUAUAAUUCAAUUAAAAUUAUAAUGUAAUCUGAUUUUGAUUUUUCAUUAUAACUAUAUGACUUCUUUUGGUAAUUGCAUUAAUAUCCGAGGGCAACUAUAUUUUGAUCGGGCUAGCAACCCAAAUGUCGGGGCCAGCCCUGCCCGUCUUAGUAGCUUUGUCAGCAGGUUUUGCAGAUUCAUCUUUGUUGGAUUUAUUUGCUUUGCAUCCCUUCUGAGUGUGUCCCAUAAUUCUACGGUGAGUACAAAACUUUGGAAGGUUUUCAUAGAAAUUGGUUGUUAGUAGUCUCCCCCUCCUCCCGGCACAUUUAGUGUUACGGUGACUGUGUGCUUUAUCUCUUUUGCCAUGUCAAUUUCCACUAGGCACCUUGCGUAAGUAACUCUUUCCUUUUGAGAGGUCAUCUUGUCCAUGUGUAUUGCUUUGCCAAUUUUGAGCAAAUUUUCCCAAAAACAUUUGGACACCACAUGUCUAGGGGAACAUACCUAAGCUGAACCCAGACGGGGAAGCUGCUAAUGGCCUCAUUCCCAAACCUGAAGAAGCGAGGCAUUGCCUCAUGCAGUGGUUCUCCAUAAAUGAGUAAGGCCCUUCCCUUACACUGUACUUGUUAUCUGCUGAGAACAACUGAAAAAUGAGCCACCCACUCCCUGAUAGCUUAAAGAGACUUGGACCCUCUAUGAGUUCGUUAUAUGCUUAAGGGCUUGUUUCCUGGGAAAUCUUCCCCCAAAAUACCCUAUUAGACAUUGUUCCCAUAGGAAAUUUGAGCCUUCGAUGUCCUCCUCCUCUAUUAUAACCGGCCCCUCAUCUUGAUCAAAGAAUUGUAGCUGGCUUCCUUUUGUUGGCAUUCGAUUUCCAGCUAGGAGACUUGCAUAGGAUUUGGUCGUGGGCUUUUCCUGUAUCUCUUUCCUCCCCAGCAGCUAAUGAUUCGCCUUGGGUAUUCCUAGUUUUCACUAUGGCAUUUGGUCGAACACUUAGGAGGCUGGCCUCAGUGGGAAGCUCUGGGGCUGGUGUAACACUGGGAAUUACUGUAGCAGUAACUUCUGAGUUUGGUUCCUCCCCAAAAUUAUCCCUAUCAGACUCGUACAAAUCCGUAGAGGCAGCAUUUGCAACUAGGACUCCUUGGCCCCCUUUAUUUUGCUUGUUUUUGGCCUUUGCCAUAUUAAUUUAUGAAAUCAUGAAGCCUCAGCAAGGAGCCGGGACAGCACCUCAGAAGUUACAAACAGCAAUGGCAAUUCCCACCUUCCGUAGGUACAACCAACAUGUUGUGCCUCAAAACUAAUUAUGGAUCACACACACACAAAAGACCAUAAAGAUUUACGUGAUUCGGCCAACGAUGCCUACGUUCCCACGGAGAGAAAUCACCAAUCUCUGCUAAUCAAAGCGAGAUUAAAUACAACGGAGGAGGCUCGAUCGCUCAACUCAACACAUUCCUCUCACAUCUCCCCUCUCUUGUCUUGCCUCUCAUCUCACACUCAUGAAUCUGCUCUCAGCCCACAACACAACGCACGUAUAAAAUCUAAGCACCCCUACCAUCCCUUUUAUAGACUAAGGGAAGGUGGUAGACAUCCUACCAGAUACCUAAUCAUUAAUCUUAAUCUAAUCUAGGAAAACAAAAGAUAAAAGACUCUCCAAGAGUUCUAGAUUAACUCCGAGAGUUUCAACACCGUCACAUAUGACACUCCAUAUGAACUCCAAUCGGGCUUGGGCUUGGGUUUGGCUACUGGCUUGGACUCCAUCAAGAAAGUGGGGCUGGACUCAUUCAGAUGGGGCUGGACUCAACAAUCUAUCUUCUCCCCUCCAUCCCACUGGAGGAUAAUCCGAUGGUCUUCAAAUGUCCCUUCUGACAGCUUUCUGAUCUAUCUCCUAUCCUCUCUCCUCUCUUCCCCCAUAAGACUGCAAGACAGCAAUCCGAGAUACCUUAGCCUUCAUCCCAGGCACUCUACUUCUACGCCACUUCCCACUCGAGUGUAUGCAUUUCCACACCGACGUGCUUGCACCUUCUCACGGAGGUGCCCUGCCCCCCCCACUGGGUGCCUCUCUUGGGCACGUGCGGGCGCGUGGGUCCUCCUCGUGCCGCGUGUAGUGUCGUGGAACCUCUCCCUAGGUGCUGGCUGAGACUUUAUCUCCUCGCCGAUAUUCAAAAAACGGUGGCGUUAGGGCGGCUUCGACUCGUUUCUGACGCGGUUUGGUGCGGGAGUUUCGUAUCGAUGAGAGGAACAACCUAGUGCCAAUCAAAAAUUAAUUUUAAGCACUUUCCCAGAACCCGAAUUUCACCUGGGCUCCGAAUCGCCUCACCUAGGCUCUGAUUACCAAUUGUUGUACUCAAAACUAAUUACGCGAUCACACACUACCAAAAGACAAUAAAGAUUUACAUGAUUUGGUUGGCCAACGAUGCCUACUGCCCACGGGAAAAAUCACCAAUCCUAUCAACAAAUGGAUUACACAAUGGAGGAGCCUCGAUCGCUCAUUACACCAUCUCUCACAAUCUCUCUUUGUCUUGCCUCUCAAUCUCACCUUACAAACAUUACAGCAAUCUGCUCUCAGCCCACAACACCACUCACGUAGAAAAUCUAAGCACCUACCAUCUUUUAUAGACAAGGGAAGGAUGUGGUGGACUCCUACCAAAUACCUAAUCCAUUUAUUAUCCUAAUCUAUCUAGGAAAACAAAAGAUAAGACUUCAAGAGUUUUAGAUAACUCGAGAGUGUCAUCAUCAACCGUCACAGGGACAACCCAUUAACGCCAUCGGGCUUGGGCUUGGCUAACUGUGGACUUGGACUCAUCCAAGUGGGCUUGGGACUUCCAGAUGGACUAGACUCAACACAAAAAACACUUAAUAGGUCCAUGCAAUGAUUGAAAACCAGAAACCCAGUAGUUGUGAACAGCAAGUAUGCUCAGCUAAUGUAGACUCAACUUCAAACAGGAAGCUGUGCACUGCUUUGAGCUCUGAUUCGAACUCCAAAGUGGAAACCCAAACUCAAAUCUGUGUAAAAACAGAUCUGGAAAUGUAUAGAAUCGUGAUUCCAAGACCUCCGUAUGAACCACAACAGUUGUAGUGAAACACCUGACGCCAAGGAGAUGGAUUGAAUCUACCGAACGAGCAAGAACAGUCGGUUAGCCAAAGCAGGUGAAUCUGCAAAGAAGAAUUGCCUCGAGAGCUUCUCUCUCUAACGUUGGCCGUCUAUUCUUCUUUGUUAUGUUGAUCUGAUUUGUGGUGGUGGCUAAAGUACUGUAGAACUACUUGGUAUAUGAAUUGAGUGAACCCCCACUAACAUGGGCGGAACUACCUUGGGGGCUUACCUGGGCUGUAGCCCGGGUAGUUCAGCCUAAAAAAAAAUUAGCAGUUCAAAAUUUUUG